AAGGUCUUGGGGCUGAGACAUGGGCGGGGCUGGGGGCAGCCAAGUGGCCUUUGAGGAUGGGGCCAGGCACCGCACAGGGCAGGCUGGUCAUGAGGCCCCCACGAAAGAUCCCAGCAUUGGGAGCUCAGGCUUCCCCGCCCCAUGCCAGGUCUGGGGCCUGGAUGGGCUUCCAGUGGGGAGGGCCCUGUGGCAGGGGUAGGGAUCAUCACAUCUCAGACCAAGGCCAGGACAUGGCCAGAACCCCGGGAUCAGAGGGACUGAUCGGGGUCUGUCAGUGACAGGAAGCUGGGCUGCGACAGAGAGGGAGAGACAGCAAGAGACAGAGACAGAGACCGAGGGAGAGAGACAGGAGAGAGAGCAAGAAACAAAGAGGGACAGAGAGGGAGACGGCGCAAGAGAGAGACAAGAGGGAGAGAUAGAGACAGGGAUAGACAGAGACAGAGAGAGACCAAGGGAGACAGGGACACAGUGGGAGAUGGGAAGAGGGAAACAGAGUGUCUCUGAGUGCCGGGCAGAUGAGGGGAGGGUGGCCUCCCAGCCUUCAGGUCCAGAAAGCAGCUUCCAGUGGCCAUGGCUAGUGAGCUGAAGUCCAGGGUCCCGGGGCACAGCUCCCCUCCCUGCAGCGGCUGUGCAGGACCUGAGGACCUGGGGGGCCCUCCCUGCCAGGCAGCCCCUCCUGCUUCCCUUCCUUUGGAAGGAGCGGUGCUGGGUCUGAGCCCCAGCCCAUCUUCCUCACCGGGGCAGCAGGGCCAAGACCCACGAUCCCUAGGCUGAGCCAGCGGCACCUCAGGGGGCACGGCCCUUGCCCACAGAUGCCCAGGCCGGCCUGGUCUUCUCUGAAUACCCCUAAGCCUGACUCUUGGGUUGUGAAUGUCCGCGAGGUUGGGGGACCUGCUGGCCCUGUCCCCACACCGCUUUCAGCCUUUCAUCACCCAACCAAAGACAGAAGCUCAAACGUGGGCACCAAAGUCUAGCGGACGCACCGAACUCCAGGCUCCAAGCACAUCCACCCAUGGUGGCUUUAUUCAGUCACGUCCCCACG
rnacentral:lncRNA from 1 species